AGUGAACGCUGGCGGUAGGCCUAACACAUGCAAGUCGAACGGCAGCACAGGAGAGCUUGCUCUCUGGGUGGCGAGUGGCGGACGGGUGAGGAAUACAUCGGAAUCUACUCUGUCGUGGAGGAUAACGUAGGGAAACUUACGCUAAUACCGCAUACGACCUACGGGUGAAAGCAGGGGACCUUCGGGCCUUGCGCGAUUGAAUGAGCCGAUGUCGGAUUAGCUAGUUGGCGGGGUAAAGGCCCACCAAGGCGACGAUCCGUAGCUGGUCAGAGAGGAUGAUCAGCCACACUGGAACUGAGACACGGUCCAGACUCCUACGGGAGGCAGCAGUGGGGAAUAUUGGACAAUGGGCGCAAGCCUGAUCCAGCCAUACCGCGUGGGUGAAGAAGGCCUUCGGGUUGUAGAGCCCUUUUGUUGGGAAAGAAAUCCAGCUGGCUAAUACCCGGUUGGGAUGACGGUACCCAAAGAAUAAGCACCGGCUAACUUCGUGCCAGCCGCCGCGGUAA
rnacentral:rRNA from 1 species